GCCUGGGUGGCUCAGUCGGUUGAGUGUCUGACUUCGGCUCAGGUCACGAUCUCACGGUCUGUGAGUUCGAGCCCCGCGUCGGGCU
rnacentral:tRNA from 1 species